ACUUAGAUAGCUUAAAAAUUAGAGCAUGACACUGAAGAUGUUAGGGUGAUAUCGUAUAUCUUUAAGUA
rnacentral:tRNA from 1 species